GAGGAUGCCACUGUCCUGGGAGUGACAUGGGUCCAGGAGCAGAGGUGAUGGUGGGCGAGACACCUCCUGAAGAGGGUGCAGAGCUAAUUCCCAAGACAGCCAGUAGGAGGCACCACAGUGGUGCCUCAGAGGAAGACUAGUGAAACCAGAACAUUAGCAGCAAACCAUCCAUGGCACUGCAGGAGUUUUGCUUUGUUCUGCUGUGAUUACUUCACCUACAGGUAUGGGAUGACGAGCAGUGGCUGCAGAACUUUUGAAUGUGGAAGGUUACUUUCCAGGAACUUUGCGCAGAGCUUUCCCCAGGCCUGAGGUGCAGCAACACUAAAAUGAGACCUGCUCUGACAGUGGAGAAGAGUGGGGGAAGGCAGCAGUCAUUCCCUGAGAAGAAUGAGGAGGAUUCUUGGAGCUGGUACAGCCAGAGAGAGACGGGGAACCAGGAAGUAGUCAGGGGAAGGAACAGUGAGGGCAGAGAGAGGAAGCCCAGAACUGUUGAGCUGAGGGUCCCUGGACUGUAACCUGGAGUAGAAGGUUGCCCCAGGUUCCCCUUGCAGCUACCGAGGGAAUGGCAUCAGGGCAGUGAAUAGAAGACUUUCUGGGACUGUUGAUGGACUGAACCCUUGAAUGGGGAACACUGAGUGACCUAGCUGGAGGGCUAAGUCACGAAGAGGACAUUGCAGGUCUUGGAGCAAAAAGAGCUGCACAUCAGAGUCAGAGUGACUGUGUGCAAACUGCAGAGGGGGGCAUCAGCCUUAAGAGCUACUUUCCAGAAGGAGGAGCUACCGCAGCAUCGAAUGGAGAACCCUGUGAUAGCACUCAUCAGUGCAACACUGUUGUCUUGCUGGACAUGUUUAAAACACAAAACUUGAAACAAUGCUGCUUGCAGCAUUAAACUUUAUAAUUCCAUUCCCUAGUAGGAAGUUUUAAUACUACAUCUA